rnacentral:rRNA from 1 species
GAUGAACGCUGGCGGCGUGCCUAAUACAUGCAAGUCGAGCGAACAGACGAGGAGCUUGCUCCUCUGACGUUAGCGGCGGACGGGUGAGUAACACGUGGAUAACCUACCUAUAAGACUGGGAUAACUUCGGGAAACCGGAGCUAAUACCGGAUAAUAUAUUGAACCGCAUGGUUCAAUAGUGAAAGACGGUUUUGCUGUCACUUAUAGAUGGAUCCCCGCCGCAUUAGCUAGUUGGUAAGGUAACGGCUUACCAAGGCAACGAGGCGUAGACGACCUGACAGGGUGAUCGGCCACCCUGGAACUGAGCCACGGUCCAGACUCCUACGAGACGCCGCAGUAGGGAAUCUUACGCAAUGGGCGAAAGCCUGACGGAGCAACGCCGCGCGAGUGAUGAAGGUCUUCGGAUCGUAAAACUCUGUUAUUAGGGAAGAACAAAUGUGUAAGUAACUAUGCACGUCUUGACGGUACCUAAUAAGAAAGCCACGGCUAACUACGUG